AGUGAACGCUGGCGGUAGGCCUAACACAUGCAAGUCGAACGGCAGCACAGUAAGAGCUUGCUCUUACGGGUGGCGAGUGGCGGACGGGUGAGGAAUACAUCGGAAUCUACUUUUUCGUGGGGGAUAACGUAGGGAAACUUACGCUAAUACCGCAUACGACCUACGGGUGAAAGCAGGGGAUCUUCGGACCUUGCGCGAUUGAAUGAGCCGAUGUCGGAUUAGCUAGUUGGCGGGGUAAAGGCCCACCAAGGCGACGAUCCGUAGCUGGUCUGAGAGGAUGAUCAGCCACACUGGAACUGAGAAACGGUCCAGACUCCUACGGGAGGCAGCAGUGGGGAAUAUUGGACAAUGGGCGAAAGCCUGAUGCAGCCAUACCGCGUGGGUGAAGAAGGCCUUCGGGUUGUAAAGCCUUUUUGUUGGGAAAGAAAAGCAGCAGGUUAAUACCCCGCUGUUCUGACGGUACCCAAAGAAUAAGCAACGGCUAACUUCGUG
rnacentral:rRNA from 1 species